GCGAGCGANGCGGGAAGAGCUCAAAUUUAUAAUCUGGCACCUUCGGUGUCCGAGUUGUAAUCUCUAGAAAUGUUUUCCGCGCUGGACCGCACACAAGUCUGUUGGAAUACAGCGGCAUAGUGGUGAGACCCCCGUAUAUGGUGCGGACGCCCAGCGCUUUGUGAUACAUUUUCGAAGAGUCGAGUUGUUUGGGAAUGCAGCUCAAAUUGGGUGGUAAAUUCCAUCUAAAGCUAAAUAUUGGCGAGAGACCGAUAGCGAACAAGUACCGUGAGGGAAAGAUGAAAAGCACUUUGGAAAGAGAGUUAACAGUACGUGAAAUUGUUGGAAGGGAAACGCUUGAAGUCAGACUUGCUUGCCGAGCAAUCGGUUUGCAGGCCAGCAUCAGUUUUCCGGGAUGGAUAAUGGUAGAGAGAAGGUAGCAGUUUCGGCUGUGUUAUAGCUCUCUGCUGGAUACAUCUUGGGGGACUGAGGAACGCAGUGUGCCUUUGGCGGGGGUUUCGACCUCUUCACACUUAGGAUGCUGGUGGAAUGGCUUUAAACGACCCGUCU
rnacentral:rRNA from 1 species